rnacentral:lncRNA from 1 species
UUUUGUAUACUUAUUACUUUAUUGUAGAUUGAAAUGUGGGUGAAAUUUAAAUUGAAAUUAAUGCUUUGAUUAGUAUUUAUUAAGACUUUAAAAUAACUAUAGGAAUUGAUUAGGAUUUACUUUGAGAGUUUUUGAAUUUAUUCAAGUUUUAUUAAGGAUUUAAUUAGGAUUUGAUUAUAAUUUGGAUAGAAUUAAUUGAAGAUUUGAUUAGGAUUUGUUUAGGAUUGAUUUAGAAUUACAUUAAGAUUUGAUUAGGAUUGGUUUAGAAUUUGAUUAGGAUUGAUUAGGAUUUGAUUAGGAUUGGUUUAGGAUUAUAUUAAGAUUUGGUUAGGAUUUAUUGAAGAUUUUAUUAAAAUUUAAUUAGGAUUUAUUUAAGAUUUCUAUUUUUAAUAUUUUUUAAAAAAAUAUUUGAUAUUUUUUUAGGAUAUUU